GCUUGGCUGGCUCAGUUGGUAGAGCACGCAACUCUUGAUUAUGGGGUUGUGAGUUCAAGCCCCAUGUUGGGCA
rnacentral:tRNA from 1 species